rnacentral:misc_RNA from 1 species
GUGAGUCAUCGAAUCUUUGAACGCACAUUGCGCCCCUUGGUAUUCCAUUGGGCAUGCCUGUUCGAGCGUCAUUUAAACCCUCAAGCUUCGCUUGGUGUUGGGCGUCUGUCCGCGCUUUCGGGCGCGGACUCGCCCCAAAUCCAUUGGCAGCGGUUUCGCCGGCUUCUUCGCGCAGCACUUUGCGCUCUUCGAGGCUUUUCGGCGGGGCUCGCGUCCAUCAAGUAACCACCCAUUUUGACCUCGAAUCAGGUAGGGAUACCCGCUGAACUUAAGCAUAUCAAUAAGCGGAGGA